ensembl:lncRNA novel transcript
AGACAUGCGCAGUGCGGCCGUCCCUAGAGGCGGGUUAACGGCCGCGGACCUGGCAGUUCUCAGGCUUCUCCAAGGGAGAAGCCCCCUUGCCAGGGUCUCGAUUUCCCGCCAACCAACAAAGGUUCAUUUGCCUCUUAUGGCCUGCGCGGGAGGGUUGCCAUGGAGUGCCGCUUGGUCCUCGGGCUCGCAGCGUGGCCCACACCUGGGUCGGGCCUCUCACGGGGACGCUCCCGCCACUGUGAUAAAGAGGAGAAAACGUCACAGGGGAAGGGCCUGACCCUGCUGCAUCCAUUUUUUAGAUUAAGUACUGCACGACUACUCGCUUCUGAAACUGUCAUAAGAAACUGCCUCAGCUCCCUGCAGGGUGGACACACAAGAGCAGAAUCUCCGUGGGACAUCUCUUUGGAGCAUCAAUAUUACUACAGUAUUUGGAAGACACAAAUUUAAAUAAUUUCUAAGGUAAAGAAUGGAACAUUUAAGACAAGGCUGGAAAGUCAUCUGCCUUUAAUAACUCAUCUGUGCCUCACAUGUCAGACUUUCUCCAAGAAAAAAACUAAGGAGAACUUAUUUCCAUUCUUAUAAGUAGUAAAAAUAAUAAAUCAUAUCAAGUCAAUUGAAA